UUGUUGCAAAUGGCAAGGUUUCAUUCAUUUUUAUGGCUGAGUAAUAUUUCAUCGUGUGUGUGUGUGUGUGUGUGUGUGUAUAUCAUAUCUCCUUUAUCCAUCCGUAGAACAUGUUUUGAGAAAUGACCUAUAUGAAUCAAAGGAGACAAUAAAUAAAGUUAAUGAUUCAACGUUUAUUAAAAAGUGAACAUUUGUGGAUUUUUAAAGCAUCAUAUGCCUUCCCUUUGUUUAGACACAAAAUAAAGUGGUCUGUCUCAGCAGUAUUCUGUUGGUUUCAGGAGGGCUGAGGAAAGAGCUGAGGCCUGAGUUCACCUUGACUCUGGAAAUUCCUGAUUCAUCCACUGGAACUUCAAUGGCAACAAACCAUCAUGCAUCAGGCACUUCUGGGCACUGACUUUUUCUUCACGCAUUUCCCCCUAGGCAACAAGCAUUUAUUGACUGUCUACUGUAUGCCCACAACUUUCUCUGUGCUGGGGAUACAACAGUAUAAAGACAGUCUGAAGCAUCUUCCACCAAAACCUUCUUGACCACCUGCCCCAGGGCUGUUGUGCUGGCCUGGGGACGCAGUAGUUUCUCUCACUUUUAUCCCUUUUGUGAGGUCAGCAAAAACGUAAGUGACGUAAGGUCAGCAGGGACAGGUGUCAGAGUGAAAGUGAAAGCAGGUGAGGACACAGAGAGCCAUGGGGGGAGGUAGAGGGUGAACAGGUGGCCUCUCCAGGAAUCCCCUCUAGGAAUAGAGUCACGCAAAGGAAGCCACUUUAAUUUUCUUGCAGAUGACAGUGGAGCUACAAAAGAAGAAACGCCAGCGUUCACGGUCCACGUCUUGACCUCUGAAGACUUUGCUGGCAGCUGACCUCACAGAGCCCAGGACGGAACUUGUUCAAAGAAACUCUCUGCCCAUUUAAUCAACUCCUCUGCUGCCCUCCCAGGGCCCUGAUGCUACUACUACAAGAACUUAUUUGUUCAAAUGAAUAUUAACAUUGUAAUUUAGUACCUAAUUACGCUUCUCUAGCCAUAACUGGAAAUGUGGUAUUAAAAUCCUUACAUGCUCCUUGGCUAUCAGCAUGUACCUUUGUCAAUAUCCUGGCAUUGCAGAGAUUUCUUUAAUGUACAAUCUCUGGGCUCACGUCUCUCCCUGUCGCUGAUCCUCCCCUGUCGGUUGCAGAUUUACUCGUUGCUGUUGCAGGUCGCGUUGAGAGCCGCGGUCUUGCUUGAAUCAAAUAGAGGAGUUCAGCUCCUUCCGAAAGAAGUGUGUGCAUACGUGGUUUUCACAAGGGCUUCAUCUUCUGUCUGCUCGCGGUCCCAGCCCAAGAACAUAAGGUCUUAGGAUUCCGCCGUGGGAAAACCCGCCACCUUCAACCGUCGUGCCUGACACAUAAUAAGUGCUCGAUAAAGUUUGCUUCUUUAGUACUUUUCACCUUGUUUCAUAUCUCUAGGCCAGUGGUCCUCAGUUCCGGAGGCAUAUAAGGAAAUGUGUACCUUAAAAAAAAAAAAAAUGGUCGUGCCUGGUGUCAUGUCAGAACAAUGAAAUCUGCGCCUCUCUGGUGAGGGCUUCCAGAUGGUUCCGACAAGCAAGAAGGAUUGAGAUCACUGCCCCAGGCACGGCUAACAUAUGUAUGUUCCGAGGAGCCACUGUUUCCGGUAGGAUCGGUUCCAGUACAGAGCAGCUAUUAGCAAAUGGUCACAAACUGAGCUUCUGCUUACAACUUUUCUGUGAGCUCUUUAGCAUCGCCGGGAAGAGCAGUGGCGAAGGAAGGAUGCAGGUUUUACAGUGGGAACAAUACUUUUGAGGACAUCGAGCUAUUUCAGAGAAAGACUGUCCUAAUAGCCGUUAUUUGCGUCUGAAAGAAUGUUCGCUGUUCUAACUUCCAAGUGUUUUAUGCAAGUUCUCCCAUCAGGCAAAGCCCCCUGUUGGGAGAGCUGGGUGGACAUGUGCACAGUGUGCAGAUGGCUCAUAACCAGCAGCCCUGCUAGCAAGAGUCAGGAACACAUCCAGGGCUUCUGCUUUGGAAACGUCUAUUUGCAACCAAGGGAAAAAAGAGAAACACAACAACUGGUAUGUCAGUAAGUCACCCUCUAAGAAAACAUGUUUUCUGACACCUCCUCCGUGUUCAGAGAUAGCCUUUCUGAGCAAAGAGCACCUGUGUGCUGAGGAUCAUGGUUAGUCUGGGUGCCAUGGACUUCCUGUAGGCUGACCCCCUGCCCCACCAACAAUCUUCAUCCACGUCCUCAGACGCCCUGGGCAGCCCUCUCGCCAUGGCACGUGAAAUUCCCAAGCACCGUGGAGCGCCUGGGUGGCUCAGUCGG